UUUAUUUAGAAAUAAUUUUGAAUAAUAAUAAUAAUAAUAAAAAAUACAUUGAAUAUUAAAUUAUACAAUGAUAAUAUAUUCAUGUUGUGAUUUUUAUUUAUUUAUUUAUUUAUUUACUUUGACACAGAAUUAAAACUUUGAUCUUUAUUUUUCUUAUUAAAACUGAAAAAGAGCUUCGAGUCUGUAAGUUUUAAAUAGUUUUUUUGUUGUUGUUGUUGUUGUUGUUUUAUAAAUAAACCCAUUAAAUCCAUAAUAAGCUCAUCUGUUCCUCUCCAGUGAUGGUCUGUGUUUUGUUCGCUAAUUUGUUCAGAGCAUUCACAUAGCGUGAAAACGGCGCUUGCAUCACACGAUCACACUCGACAUCUUUAUUUUAUUGUCGACAAAAGAAACAACCUUCCGAUGAGAUCAUGGCCAUAGAGAGUCUAGCAUGUGUUGAUCAUGUGUCACGCACUGGAUCUGGAACAUUUCCCACACCGUCGUUUAAUACGUAUUUCUGAUAAAUGAAGAAAAAUCCCCCUUUCCCACCCACUUCCUAAACACACACAUUCUUAUUACCAAAGUCUUAAAAACAAGCAUUACCACAAAAGCCUCUUUUCCAUAUAUCACACAGAGACGCAUCUGGAUGUGACUCCACCCGGUCCACAGAGUCUUUCUAUCAGCCUGAUGGACACACUUUCUCAGGCUUUUAAGGUGCUGGACCAAAGUACAGGUCCAUAUGAUUGUAUUUCACAUUGAGGUCUAGCCAGAAUCCAAGAGGAAAUGGUUUCCAUUAAUGCAUCCCAGCCAUAAAACAUCUAAGCAUUGACGUUUGUUCAUUAUAUGAUGGUUUGGAACAGUUAUAAAUCAUAACUGAACAUACGACUGAAAUACAUUCAUUGCAUGCUACUUAGCAACUAAACUAAUUGAGUGCUAAUUGACUCCACUGGCCUGUAUGUGAUGAAAUGAUUAGGAUUGUAAGACUGAGGGGGGCAUGGCGUUCAGCCUUGAGAUCUUCAGUGCUUAUCAAGACUGACACGCACAUCUGGUCGACAUGAUACAGCUGGAAUCGAGCACUCUUGAAUGAUCAAUUCAUAAAUGUUUGAACUCAUCCAUUGCGAAUGAUAAUGCAACUAGAAUAUUACUUAAUGUUGAGUGUUUAAUGAGUUGCUGAGUUGUUUAUUUUCAUGAUAUUUGGCAACCCGUUUCCAGGCUUAUUACACAAUUAGAUGCUGAUGAAUUGUACAUAAUAUUGUUUGUUUGAUCCAUUAAUGUGUUUAGCAUGCUGUCAGCCAUUUCAGAUAUUUAUUUUAUUAUUCAGAACGUCAUGUUUGGACAUCUUGGGAUCAGCUAGUGGCGAGAUGUCAUUUUCCAUGACAAGAAGCUUAGAGUCAUCUUGAUUCAACAAAAGCUUGGCUUUCAAAUUAGACUUCAAGAUACCUGCAAGCAAAACAAGUGACUCGUCUCCAUUAAUGAAUAACAUCUGGCUUUUGCGUCUUGCUGCCAACGAUUGGAUGUCUGCUGCCCUGCACUCUUAAAUACAUGGCGCCCCUGAGAUGAUGUACACGUUCUAUUCACAGCCCUGAAGAUAAUGGGAAGCACAUUUACACUAUAGGUACAGCGCUCCAUCCGACACCACUGUAUACAGAAUCUUCCUGAGAGGAAGCGGCCACAUCCUGCAGGUUCCGGGAGGUUCUGAGGGGUCAGUAACAGAGGCGGCUGUGAUGUGCUGAUAAUGGCAGACGGCUCAGGGGAUGAGACUGUGUGGCGUGGGUGUCCAGACAGACAGUCGCAGAACAGUCCGGUGAUGUAUUGCUGGGUGGUUAGCAGUAUCGCUAAUGUGGCCCAGAGGUUUUGUCCUUAUCAGUGAUAAUGUUGUUUUGGAAGGGAGGUUAGAUUAUUGGAAUUUAUUAGUUCUCUUGGUGUAAAUUGUGUUUUGUUGGGUAAAAUCGUUUAAUAAGAAUUUAUUAAAUUAUAUUAAUCUUAUUCAUUCUUUUAUAAUAAUAAUAAUAAUAAAUUUUAUUUAGUAUAGCGCCUUUAUAAGGGACUUUCUCAAAGCGCUUUACAACACAAGCAAACACAACAAUCCAGAGUAAAACACAAAAAUACAGAAUAACAAUCAGUUAAAAGCAAGACGGAAAUAAAACGUUUUAAGACGAGAUUUAAAAAUACCUAACGAAUUUGCUUCCCUGAUGUGAGCCGGAAGAGAAUUCCACAAUUUGGGGUCGUACGAUGAAAAUGCCCGAUCACCCCCAGAACGCAUCCGUGUUUUAGGAACGACUAAAAGACCGCCCUGAGAAGAUCGCAAAUUGCGACUAGGUAUAUAGGGAAUUAAAAACUCAACCAAGUACUGAGGAGCCAGACCAUACAGUGCCUUGUAUGUUAACAUGAUAACUUCAACAUCAAUACGGAAUCUAACCGAGAGCCAAUGCAACAAUUCUAAAACAGGAGUUAUAUGAUCAACAACCCUGGCCCCUGAGAGAGAAUUUCUGGCUUCUGAACGAGACGAGAAAAACAAAAUAAUUAAUUACCCUUUCAGCAACAGAGAAAGACAGCAUAGGUCAUAGCCGUGCAAUAUUUCUGAGAUGAAAGAACGAGGUCUUAACAGUGUUCAGCACAAAAGGCUCAAACGACAAGCUGGGAUCAAAAAUAAAGCCCAGAUUUUUUUAUUUACUUUGUAACUCCAGAGCAACAACAUCAACAGACAAAGCUAAAGAUCCAGCAUUACCAAGUUUAUGGGGAGAGCCCCUGGAACUAUUCAAACACAAGAACUUUUCAGACAUCCACAACUUUUUGGUUAUUUACAAUAAUCUGAGAAAAGUAGGAUGAUCUUGAUUUUUCAAGGGCUUCUUUGUAUUGACCCACAGAAGCUUUCCAAGCCUGAUGAAAAACACUCAAGCCAGAGCAACGCCACUUUCGCUCCAGUUUGUGGCAAGCAACCUUCUUUGAGUGCAGGUCAUCAGUAUACCAAGGAGCUGAGUGAACGAAAGAGACAUUUUUAUUUAGCUUGACCCUGCUGAUGUCCUCGCGGCUAAACGGAAAUAAGCGAAAGCAGCUUCAGAGAGAAGAUUUAACUGAAGAUUUGCAGAUUACCACAGGAAAGACACUCAGAGAGCAUAACUAUUUGUUUUGCAGAAACGAUUUCAUUAUUUUUCCGCCGUCUUUUGAUUGUCUCUGUGAAAAUAAAUGCCAAAUCAGUAUAUAAGAGUGUGA